ACAGCAUACGCGGCGUAUCGCGGCACACAGUGUUGAUCUAAUAGUCAAGAUGUCUCCAAUCUUCAUCAAGUGAUUUUACGUUCCUCGCCGCUAUAUGCCAUGAACUUUUUCUAAGUAGCUAUUACCACUGAUCUGAUUCUGUCUCGGAACUGCUAGAGGCCUAAUCAUUACAUCCAAUAUGAUUUAUAAGAGGAAGAACAUCUUGUCGAUCCAUUAAUUUCCUCCCUCUCGGUUUUUGGCAAAAGGCACAGACUACCAGACACUGUCUUUUAACUUCAGAAUAGGACACUCCACUAUACACAAGUCAAUCUUAUUUGGGAGAUUCUAAGAAACAUCGUUAUGCUACAACCCAUAAGGCAACCAAUAUCCGUGGAAUAUGCCACCUAUAUCUCAUUUGACGAAAUAUAUUGCAAUAUGCCUGGAAUAUCCCACAUUCUUACAGAUGUACCAUUAGGGAUGGGAGCGCCAUCUAGCUGAAUGUACAAAUUGUUUCUAUAAGUAACGGCAAAUCAUGAGCAGCAUCCCAAGAAUCAUUUUUCAAGAAAACUCGCAUCGUUAAUUAGUAUUCUAAAUAAUUUAUAGUUAGAAUACUAAUAAUUAAUAGAAUAAUUAAUUAGUUUAAUAGUAUUCUCUUGGUAGAAAAUAUCCCUUUAUCAGUAAAUAAAAUUUUGCCAAAUA